rnacentral:miRNA from 1 species
UAUUGCACUCUCCCCGGCCUGA